UACAGAGGGGGCAAGCGUUGUUCGGAAUUACUGGGCGUAAAGCGCGCGUAGGCGGUUUUGCAAGCCAGAGGUGAAAUGCCUGAGCUCAACUUAGGAAUUGCCUUUGGGACUGCGAGGCUUUGAGGACGGGAGAGGUGAGUGGAAUUCCCAGUGUAGAGGUGAAAUUCGUAGAUAUUGGGAAGAACACCGGUGGCGAAGGCGGCUCACUGGCCCGUUUCUGACGCUGCAGCGCGAAAGCGUGGGGAGCAAACAGG
rnacentral:rRNA from 1 species